rnacentral:sRNA from 1 species
AAUGGGUUGUUUAAUAACAAGACCUAUUUAUUAACUAAAUCUAUCCUGCUGGGUACUUUCUCCAUCAAAUGAGAAUGAUCACGGGUUCCUUACUGCAAGGUGUAAAUAGUAGGAUGAAGACAGGAUAGAAGCCAGCAUGAAGACAUUCUACUUGACUCAUUCCCUGGGUCUGAGGAUGGCUUAUGCCUUGACACAGAUAUUCAUGCCACUAGAGGCUUGUAAGUUACUAUAUACCACCAAGACUCAUGAAGAAACAGUGGGGCCUGUGCUGUAGAAGAAGCAUACCAGAAUUUAAGAACUCAAGUCCAAGUGGAUCAUGGGCCCCAGUGUGAAACCUGAUCUACUGAACCUGACAGAAGAGAAAGUGGGAAAAAGCCUUGAAUGCUUUUGGCAUAAGAGACAACUCCCUGAACAGAACACUGAUAACAGAGGCGCUAAGAUCAACAAUUAAUAAUGGGAUCUAAUGAAACUGAAAACCAUCUGUAAGGUAAAGGACACCAUCCCAUCAAUAGGACAAAACAGCAGCCUACAAAAUAGGAAAAGGUUUUCCCUAACUCCACAUCUGACAGAAGGCUAACAUCCAAAAUAUACAAAGAACUCAAGAAACUAGAUAUAAACAAACAAAAUAACCACAUUAAAAGUGGUGUACAGAUCUAAAUAGAAUUCUCAAAAAAGAAAUUUCCAAAUAGUCAAGAAACACUUAAAAAAUGUUCAACAUCCUUAGCCAUAAGAGAAAUCAAAAUCAAAAUUACAUUGAUAUUCCAUCUACACCUGUCAAAAUCACUAAGAUCAAUAGCACAAGUGACCACUCAUGCUGGCUAGGAAGUAGAGCAAAAGGAACACUCCUCCAUUGCUGGUGGGAAUGCAAACUUUGUACAGCCACAGGAAAUCAAUAUGGUGAUUCCUCAGAAAAUUGAAAAUGGAUCUACCUCAAGACCCAGCUAUCCUAUUCUUGAGUAUAUACCCAAAGAAUGCUCCAAUCUUCCACAAGUACACUUACUUAACUGUGCGCAUGGCAGCUUUAUUCAUAAUAAUCAGAAACUAGGAAUAAUACAGAUAUUCCCCAACUGAAGAAUAGGUAAAGAAAAUGUGGUUCAUUUAUACAAUGGAGUAUUAUUCAGAUGUUAUAAAAAUAACAUCAUGAAAUUUACCAGCAGAUGGAUGAAACUAGAAAAAAUUAUCCUGAAUGAGGAACCUAGACCCAGAAAGACAAACGUGAUAUGUACUUGGAUAUUAGCUAUUAAGGAAAAUCACUCUACAAACCACAGACCCAUAAAGGCUAAAUCAAGAAGGGCUCAAAAGUGGGUACAUAGAUCUUCCUGGGAAGGAGAAAUAGGAUAGAUUUUACAGGUGGACUGUGGGUGAGUAGAGACGGGAUCAGGAGGGUUCACGGGAGAAUGGGGGAAGAACAGAGUACUGGGAAAGGUAACUAUAAAGGGGAGGGACCUGGAGGGAGGCAGUGUGGAAACCAAGUGUAUGGAAACCCCCUGGAUUUUAUGUGGGUGACCCUAGCCAAGACUUCUAGCAAUGUGGGAUACAGAGCCUGAACUGGACAUCUUUUGUAACUGGGUAAGUUUUUCAAUGGUGGGACUGGGACACCAACCCAGCCAUAAAACCUUCAACCUACAAUUUGCCCUGCCUGCAAAAUAGGCUGAGGUAAUGCUGGAACAGAACUUGUGGAUGUGGCUAACCAAUGACUAGUCCAACUUGAGGCCAACACCAUGAGAAAGAGUCCACAUCUGACACUGCCUGGAUAGCCAGGAACUAGAGGAUGGAUAGCCCAGGUACCUAGGAUAGAACCAAACACAACUGACCAAAAAAAUCAAUUAAAUGAUUCCUAAUGACAUUCUGCUAUAUUCAUAGAUCGGUGCCUAGCCUGAUCACCAGCAGAAAGGCUUUAUUUAUCCAGCAACCGAUGGAAGCAGAUGCACAGACACACACUAAAUAUUAGGCAGAGCUCAGGGAACCGCACAGAAGAGGAAGGACUGCAGGAGCCAGAACUGUUAAGGUAGCCAGAAGAGAGAGCAUUGCCCACAGAAUCACCUCAGUAGGACCCACAGGGGCUCACAGGGACUGAAACAACAAGCAUGAAGCCUGCAUGGGUCUCAGCUAUGUCUUCUGCUUACAUGUUAGGGUUGUGUAACAUGUUCUUCUUUGGGAUCCUAAUAUUGGGAAUGGGAAAUACCACUGACUCUUUUGCCUGGUCUUGGGAUCGUUUUCCUCCUACUGGGUUGCCUCAUCCAGUCUUGAUAUGAGGGUUUGUGCCUAGUCUUAGUAACUUGUUCUGCCACUUUUGAUUGAUAUCUCUGGGAGGCCUGCUCUUUUCUGAAGGGAAAUGGAAGAGUGGAUGUGGGGAAGAAAGGAGAUGGAUGGAGUGGU